AUUCCACCGGGAUUGGAGACACCGGAGGAGGAGGGGGAGUUGCCACUUUCUGGCGCUUUGUUCCAGCCUUAGCACCUUGGGUGCCCUUCCUCUUUGGCUGGCUAGACUGGGGGGCAUCGGUACCUUGGCGUUUGGCUUUUGCCGAUGCACCAGUUUGCUGCAACAACAAAAAGGAGUUUAUGAGCACAGAUAGCCGAUAUAAAGAUAGUCGGCGUAAAUGAAAAAGGUUUGACAAAUUGCCUUGAAAGCUUGUGCCAGAGUGGAAGCAGCUACCGAUGGUGAUGUCUGAGUUUUCCUGGUGGUAACUUUCUUGAGGCGCACACCCCGAUGCACGAUGAAAGCUAGAGUAGGAGCAUUGUGGCCGAUUGAGGAAAUCGGGCCUGAUGGAAACAGGUCGAUCGGCUUGCCACUCCUGCUAACCGAUGGGGGGAUGUUGUCAACCUGCAAAAGGAAUACAGGGGUAAGUUACCGAUGGAAAUAGUAUUGAAAAAUGAGACAUCGGUUUAAAAUACUUACAGUGUCAUCGGGGACUUCGUAUUCGAGGUCGAUCAUGCCGCGAUAUGAGAGGGCCGAUCUGCAGAAUAGAUGUUCUUUCCAUUCUGCCCACCAUAGCUUGUAUGCCUGAGUAAUAAAGGCAGCUGGGACCCAUUCUAACAGAUCUACAUCUGUAUCGGCAUUUGGUGGUAGCUGGGCUACUCGAGUCCACUCGAGGAGGUUGGUGAUGGGUUCUCUGGGUUUUAUCACAUCGGCAUAAGGGAGUGCAAUCGGCAACUGGCCGAAAGCUAGCUGACGGGCUAAGGCCGAUGGAUUGUAAAAUUCAUAGGUUUGGGGAGAAGUUUUUGUGCUACCAAAGAAAUUCACUGGUAUGGCUCUGGGAGUCACAAUCGCUAUCAUCACCUCAUUAUCCCUGUCAAGAGCUUCAUCAAAUGGAUUGAAGGUUAGAGGGAGCAUGCUGUCUGGGUCAUCAUAAGCCAACCAUGGUCGUUCAUCUUUGGCCAAUCCCUCAUACAGAGUCUGGAAGAAUCGGCCGAUUUGGUCCGGAUUACUCCCUAAACUAGGUAGAACUAUAGCAGCUUCGCCAAAAUUCAGGGGGGCACGUGUUGCCGAUUCCUCUUCGCCCAACACAUGAUUUUCGGCUAUAUCUCUUGGGAAAUGCUGUGUGAACAAGUUGAAGUCAAGGCGCUUAUGCAAGUGCAGAUUGAGCCACAUGUUAAUAAACCACCAGGGACCUCCCAAGUUGCCGAUAGACUGACCAAGCAGGAGUUUUUGGGCUACCUGAUGGAGAAGAUGGUAAGCAGCGCCAAGCAAGUAUCGGCCGAGAGGAAAUUGGCCACCGUUACCCAGUCUCUCUGCUGCCGAUAGAUAGACAGAAGUCGGUCCUGCCGAUCGACCACAGAAUACGAACUUGUCCAGCCACAUAUUCAGAAAGGUGGUUUGUUCCUUUGUGGUGACAGGCCCCUUCCCACGGUACUUCUGAAUGUACCCCGACCAACCGCCGAUAGCGCGAGUCUCCACUUUGGCACUAGGGGCGGUAUCAAAGAAGUGGGUGCUAUCGGCAGAAGAAACGUCUAAACCAGUGAGCAUAGCUACAUCGGCAAGAGUGGGAGAAACAGGACCGUGGCCAAAGACGAAAGCAUUAAGGGUAUCUGACCAAAAAUAAGACGCAGCUAUCAACAGCGACUCGUUCUUGUGCAUAUCGGCAAUGGAUAGCCUGAUGCAUUGGGCUAGCUUCCUUUCACCCCACUGGACUUCAUUCCAAUUACUGACUCUCAAGAACCAGUCUUUCCACCCUACAGUAGGGCUGGGCCAAGAGCGAAAGGUGUCUUUCCACAGAUCUAAAGAAAAGUUUUCGGCUCUAAAGGGAAUCCUGUUGGUUUCUGCAUUGAUAAGGUCAGUUGGAUCUGGAUUCCCUAGAGGGCCGAGGCACUGAAGGUGUGGUUGAUCGGUGGGGAUGACAAUUUUGUUGGACAAUUCCUAGUGUUUUGGGGAAUAAAAAUACAAAGAAAAAGGAAAAGGAAGAUAUUCAGUAAGAUGAAUCGCAGAUGAACAGGAAUGCGAGAAAAGGUACAGGAGAUGAGAUGGAGAUUUGACCUCAGGAACGACGAAGUUAAUGGCCAUCUUGCAGCAAGGAGAACGUUUGAGGGCACCGGAGUUGAUGAGGAGGAGUGCUUGUCGGAGGUCUUGAAGAUUUUCAAUGGCACCGCCGCUGGAAAAGUAAAAGUUGGGAUGGUGGAAUGAUGUGAUGGAGAAGGAGUACCCGAGAAGGAACUAUUUGUAGGACGAAACGGGCAAGAGCAAAUUUGACUUAUCUCUUUGCCGCAUCCGAGAAACCCGAGGGUGCUCAGGAAGAUAUGGUAACUGUUCGCACGAUAAUUAAGGGAUUGUGCAGGUGAUUUGAUAGGAAGCGGUCAUCAUCCAUAGAUAUUUCACUGUGCGAUAUCUCCUGGUCGGUCCAUCGGCAGCGCCUUGUAACGGUCAUAUUGCCGAUGGGCAGGUAACAUGGAGAUAGCCGUUUGGGAGGAUAACAUAUGGACGUUCAUCGGCAAGUCCCUGUAACGGUAAUAUUGCCGAUGUGCGACUAAACUGGAAAUGUCCGUUUGGGGAAGUUGAGGAUUUCGAGGAAUCUGCAGAGGAAUAGGAUCAGAGUUGUUCAGAUUAAGGCUGUCGGUUACCAAAUUGGGAGCAUUAAUUGCGGGAAGGCAUCAUUACUGCAGAGAAUUUUGGAGCAUUAAUGAUUUCAUUCUCCGAAAUUGGGGGGCAUGUGUUGACACCGUUUUUGGGCACGUGUCCAUGAUUGGUAAAGUGUAGGUCGGCAAGAUAAGACGGCAGUGCUUGAUCUACAGGGUGAGUUGCCGAUGAAGAUGGUUGUCGAUGGAAGGAUGGUUGAACGUGACCAAGUCCAUAGGUGAUGAUGUGUUUGUGCCGAUGGCUAUGACAGAGGAGUCUGCCGAUGACACAGAGGGAGAAUCUGGAAGUUGCCGAUCGGCUUAUGGGGAUGUCCUAGUUUGUCACGUGAGGAUAGUUUUACGUUUUCCUUAGUUAUUUAGAUCGUUUUGUACACGAACUCUGUUUAAAUUUGGAAUUCGAAUUCUAGUCGUGUCUGGUUGCAGCUCUUUGAGCAGGGUAUAAAUGUAGACCCUCGGGCCUUGUAAAAUCAAUCAAUCAAUCAAUCAAACACAAGUUUUUACUCAUAUUCUAGCAUCUACUUUUCGACGACUUCGUCAUACCUUUUUUUCCUUUUUAUUACGAGUUCUUAGGAAUUCGUCGACUUAAGCUCGGCGUAUUCUCGAGUUCCGCGUGAGUACCUCUUGGCCGUGACAUCCGGGCGCAUCGCUGUUGUCAGGACCAAAGUAUUCGAGUUACCACCUUUGCCGAUAGUAAGGUCAAAUCGGCUGGCACGCCUUAACAUUUGAAUCGGGUAUUAGCCCUUUGUGUUUGCAGAUCAGCUUUUGCAUCAACAGGUUAUUUGAAUGGAUAGUCAUGACCUUUGGGUUGAAGAAUGCUAGUGCUACUUAUCAAAGAGCCAUGAAUUUUAUGUUUCAUGAGUUCAUCGGCAAGCUGGUAGAGAUCUAUAUUGAUGAUGUGGUGGUUAAGUCUGGGGAUUUCUCAAAACAUCUUGCCGACUUACAGAAGGUGUUAGAGUGCACAAGGAAGCAUGGGUUGAAGAUGAAUCCCAAUAAGUGUGCAUUUGGUGUAUCGGCAGGGCAGUUUCUUGGUUUCAUGGUACAUCAAAGGGGGAUUGAAAUUAGUCGAAGAUCUAUUGAUGCCAUCAAUAAAAUAGUGGCCCCUACCAACAAGACUGAGCUCCAAUCCUUGAUCGGCAAGGUAAAUUUUAUCAGGGGAUUUAUAUCCAAUCUGUCUGGUAAGAUUCGUGCUUUCAGUCCUCUCCUUAAGUUGAAAGCCGAUCAAGAGUUUAUUUGGGGAACAGAGCAGCAGUUGGCUUUGGAUGAAAUCAAGAAAUAUCUAGCGAAUCCUCCAGUUCUAGUUCCACCUCAGCCGGGAAAGCCCUUCAGAUUAUAUUUGUCUACCGAUGGGACGGUUAUCGGUUCGUCUUUGAUUCAAGAGUUUGAAGGGAAAGAACGUGUAAUUUAUUACUUAAGCUAGAGAUUAAUUGAUGCUGAAACCAGGUAUUCGGUCAUUGAGAAGUUAUGCUUAUGCAUUAAAUUGAGGCACUAUUUAUUAUCGGCCGAAUGCACUGUUGUUUGCAAAGACGAUGUGGUCCGAUACAUGCUAUCUAUGCCGAUUAUGAGUGGCAGGAUCGGUAAAUGGAUUUUAGCACUGUCGGAGUUCGAUCUGCGCUACGAAUCGGCUAAAGCGGUUAAAGGACAGAUUAUGGCCGAUUUUGUGACUCAGCAUUGCGGUAUAGUGGAAGCCUUGGAAGUUGUGCCUUGGACGCUUUUCUUUGAUGGAUCUACAUGUGACCGGGGGGCAGGAAUCGGCAUUGUAUUAGUUUCCCCUAAGGGGAGGAAGUAUGAGUUUUCCUUACCGAUUGUUGCUACAUCGACAAAUAAUCAGGCUGAAUAUCAGGCUCUGAUCAAGGGAUUGGAGUUGUUAAGAGAAGUUCGUGCCGAUGCUGUUGAAAUUUUUGGGGAUUCUAUGUUAGUUAUAAAUCAAUUGGGCGGGAGCUACGAAUGCCGAAGCGAAGUUCUCAUAACUUAUUUCGAAAGAAGCAUGCAACUGUUAAAGGAAUUCAAAGAUUUCCGAUUAGAGCAUGUUCCUCGGUUGCAUAAUGAAGAAGCCAAUCGGUUAGCUCAGCAUGCCUCGGGAUAUCAGCCUAUGAUUAAUACAAUAUUGGCAAUUGGUGCCGAUGAUUGGAGGAAAGAAAUUAUUGAUUAUUUGAAAAAUCCAUCUAAGAAAGUUGAAAGACGGGUUAGAUUUCAAGCAACCAAAUAUGUGCUCCUUGACGAUGAAUUAUACUAUCGAACUAUUGAUGGAAUUCUUCUCCGAUGCUUAGGAGAUGAUGAAGCUAGGAGUUUGGUGGGAGAAAUUCAUGAAGGGGUAUGUGGGGCGCAUCAGUCAGCUUUUAAGAUGAAGUGGAUGAUUAGGAGGAAUGGGUAUUAUUGGCCGACUAUACUUGAGGAUUGCUUUAAGUAUUUCAAAGGGUGUCAAGGGUGUCAGAAGUUUGGCAAUAUUCAAAGGGCACCUGCGUCGGCUAUGAAUCCUAUUAUAAAGCCUUGGCCGUUCCGAGGAUGGGCUAUUGAUCUGAUCGGCCAGAUUUAUCCACCGUCUAGCAAAGGGCAUAAGUUUAUUCUGGUUGCCACUGAUUAUUUCACUAAGUGGGUCGAAGCUAUUCCUUUGAAGAAAGUCACAUCGGCCAAUAUGAUUGAUUUUGUGAAGGAGCAUAUCAUUUACCGAUUUGGAAUUCCUCAAACAAUUACUACCGAUCAGGGCACUAUGUUUACAUCAGGGGAGUUUGAUGAAUUUGCAAUCGGUAUGGGGAUCAAAGUGUUGAAUUCUUCUCCUUAUUAUGCCCAAGCCAAUGGGCAAGCCGAAGCGUCUAACAAAGGAAUUAUCAAGCUUAUUAAACGAAAGAUUGAAGAGAAUCCUAAGCGAUGGCAUACAUUAUUAAACGAAGCACUGUGGUCUUAUCGGAUGGCUUGUCAUGGAUCAACCAAGGUGUCACCCUAUCAAUUGGUGUAUGGACAUGAUGCAGUGUUGCCUUGGGAGAUUAAGGCUGGAUCUAGGCGAUUAUCUUUUCAAGAUCAAUUAGCUGCCGAUGAUUAUGCCACUUUGAUGACCGAUGAGUUAGAUGAUCUAGCAGGACAUCGGUUAAAGGCUUUAAUGAGUAUAGAAGAAAAUAAGAAGAGAGUUGCUAGAUGGUAUGAUAAGAAAGUAAAGGCUAAGGAGUUUGCCGAUGGGGAUUUGGUAUGGAAGUUAAUUUUGCCAGUCGGGACUAAAAGUUCGAAGUUUGGGAAGUGGUCUCCUAAUUGGGAGGGUCCUUAUCGGAUAAGACACUCGGCUCCUGGUAACGCCUAUAUUCUAGAAACUCUCGAAGGAAUUGAAUUUCCCAGAGCAUUAAAUGGCAAAUAUUUAAAGAAGUACUACCCCAGCAUAUGGGUCGAUGCAUAAAAGUUUAAGUGCCGAUAACACUCCUAUCGGCUGGAUUCAAAUGUUUGGGGGCUUAGUGUUUCAAAAGAUGCCGAUAACAGUCCUAUCGGCUAGACUAAAAGCUGAGGAAGCAGGAAAGCACAGAUAUGAUGCCGAUGAAAACUUCAUAUGUUCAGCAGCGCCUGGAUCGCUGAUAUGGCGCGUAGCCUGAUUUGGUUGGCUGCUUCUAUUUCCUUGAUAUCAUCAUCGGCAGAGCCUUCUAUCGGCUUCAGCUUCAUCUUCAACUGCAGCGCCUUGCGACCGUGGAUGUUCCACUCAUGCUCAAGGAGCUUGAUGGUCUCUGGCAGUUGACUCUCUUCCUGUUGAGCUUGGGACAAGGCGUCCUCCACUUGUUUGAGUUCUGCUAAUAGGGAUUCCCUUUUUGCCGAUAAGUCAGAUAUCUUUUGCUUCAGCGUAUCUCCUGAAGAUCUCAAGAUGCCGAUGUUCUUGUGCUUCUCAUCGGUCAGGAGUUUCUCUUUCCUCAUCUCUUCAGAGAGUUGAGUCUGAGCAGUUCUGUCGGCAAGACGCCGAGAAGCCCUCUGGUACUGCAGCUGACGACUCUCUAAGUGUGCGGCUUGGAAGAGGAUUUCUUCAACAUCGGUUGGGAUCUGGCCUCUGAGAGUCUUGAAUAGAGCCUUGGCUGGGUCGGAGUCAUCAACCAGUUGUGCCGUGUCCUGAUGGAGGAGGGCCGAUAAUUCUUCCAGCUUGGCCCUGAUCUCUGCCGAUGUGAUGCCAACUCUCUGGGAAGAACUUGUUUCUUCACCUUCUUCUUCAGAGAUGUCGAUGGUGAAGGAGAAAAGGCUAUCGGGAGAAUCUUGUUCCUGGGAAAGAAAAACAGAGUAAAUUAGUUCAUGCUCGGAGAAUCGGCAAAUAAUACUGAUGAAGACUGAGCGACUUACUUGCUUCAAGGCUAUUUCUUGCCGUUGACUGGAAGAUGCCGGUGGGGCCACAGGUUGAUCGGCCAGGGUUGCCGAUGGAACAACAUCGACUGGAAAGAAGACAGAAAGAGUUAUGAGACUAAAUGAGAAUAAGUUUAUCGGCGGAAGUAUUGUUGAAAUAUGUUACCUAGAGGAGGAACAGCAGUUGUCUGAAUUGGGGGAACCGCCGAUGAUAUAAUUGGACCUGCCGGGCCAGUUGUUUGUUCACCCACGUCAGCUGAUGUACCUUCUGUUUGAGGUUCUUCCUGCUGGGAUUCUUCCAUCUGUGGUGCUUCCUACAUUGGUUGGGGAGAUGGUGCUUGCUGUGUCUGGACUUCUAGAGAAGAAGGGGAAGAUUCCACCGGGAUUGGAGACACCGGAGGAGGAGGGGGAGUUGCCACUUUCUGGCGCUUUGUUCCAGCCUUAGCACCUUUGGUGCCCUUCCUCUUUGGCUGGCUAGACUGGGGGGCAUCGGUAACUUGGCGUUUAGCUUUUGCCGAUGCACCAGUUUGCUGCAACAACAAAAAGGAGUUUGUGAGCACAGAUAGCCGAUACAAAGAUAGUCGGCGUAAAUGAAAAGGGUUUGACGAAUUGCCUUGAAAGCUUGCGCCAGAGUGGAAGCAGCUACCGUUGGUGAUGUCUGAGUUUUCCUGGUGGUAACUUUCUUGAGGCGCACACCCCGAUGCACGAUGGAAGCCAGAGUGGGAGCAUUGUGGCCGAUUGAGGAGAUCGGGCCUGAUGGAAACAAGUCGAUCGGCUUGCCACUCCUGCUAACCGA
rnacentral:lncRNA from 1 species